CCUACGGGAGGCAGCAGUGGGGGAUAUUGGACAAUGGGGGAAACCCUGAUCCAGCGACGCCGCGUGAGUGAAGAAGUAUUUCGGUAUGUAAAGCUCUGUCAGCAGGGAAGAAAGAAAUGACGGUACCUGACCAAGAAGCCCCGGCUAACUACGUGCCAGCAGCCGCGGUAAUACGUAGGGGGCAAGCGUUAUCCGGAUUUACUGGGUGUAAAGGGAGCGUAGGUGGCAAGGCAAGUCAGAUGUGAAAACCCGGGGCCCAACCCCGGGAGUGCAUUUGAAACUGUCUGGCUAGAGUGCAGGAGAGGUAAGUGGAAUUCCUAGUGUAGCGGUGAAAUGCAUAGAUAUUAGGAGGAACACCAGUGGCGAAGGCGGCUUACUGGACUGUAACUGACACUGAGGCUCGAAAGCGUGGGGAGCAAACAGGAUUAGAUACCCCAGUAGUC
rnacentral:rRNA from 1 species